rnacentral:rRNA from 1 species
AACGCUGGCGGCAGGCUUAACACAUGCAAGUCGAGCGGGGAAAGGUAGCUUGCUACCUGACCUAGCGGCGGACGGGUGAGUAAUGCUUAGGAAUCUGCCUAUUAGUGGGGGACAACAUUCCGAAAGGAAUGCUAAUACCGCAUACGCCCUACGGGGGAAAGCAGGGGAUCCUCGGACCUUGCGCUAAUAGAUGAGCCUAAGUCAGAUUAGCUAGUUGGUGGGGUAAAGGCCUACCAAGGCGACGAUCUGUAGCGGGUCUGAGAGGAUGAUCCGCCACACUGGGACUGAGACACGGCCCAGACUCCUACGGGAGGCAGCAGUGGGGAAUAUUGGACAAUGGGCGAAAGCCUGAUCCAGCCAUGCCGCGUGUGUGAAGAAGGCCUUUUGGUUGUAAAGCACUUUAAGCGAGGAGGAGGCUACUUAGAUUAAUACUCUAGGAUAGUGGACGUUACUCGCAGAAUAAGCACCGGCUAACUCUGUGCCAGCAGCCGCGGUAAUACAGAGGGUGCGAGCGUU